rnacentral:lncRNA from 1 species
AGUGAUCUGAGUCGAGCUGUGGAUGCAAGCAGCUUAGAAACAAGCAGAAGGAAUGAGAAUGGACAUCAGAAGAUAGAGUUCAGAAGACAGGAAAGGAAGGAAAGCACUGCAUUUUAUAGGCAACCGAACAAAACUGGAUGAAAGUCAGCACAGCAAAAGCCAACUGCAACAUCAGAAAAUGUUUUCUAAUGCUGGGUCUAUUAGGUCCUGGAGUAAUCUCCACAGGAGGAGGUGAAGGCUGUAUUCGAGGAGAGACGUCAAACCUCAGUGAAAAUUUUGGUUGAAGCCAUAAACAAGGCGGAUGUUGGCAGCAGAUGAAGGCCGAGGCCUUGGGAACAUUACCAGGUUCUAACAAUUGCAGAAGCGCGAUGAAGGAGGAAAUCUCCCAGUCCACUGCUGUGUGCUGAAAGUACAGCUUCGAAGAAUUGGUUUGCUUUCCAAGAAAACAAAAUCAAUUUAAUCUUCAAGAAUAUGGCUUCCUACAGGGACCAACUCUAGGAGGAAGAAUGGUUCAGCAGUGAAAUGCAAUAGGUGCAGGCCUGUUGUAAUUAGAAUUCAUCUAGCUGUUCCAAGAUUCUCAAUUAAAGUAACCAUUCAAGACGGUUUGGAGCUUCCACUCACAGUUAAUGAGCACACAGUAGGUAGACCUGACGCCUAUUGUGAUGCUGUUUGCCUUGCAGCUCUGUCCUUCCCAGGUUUCUCCAGCACCGCGUCCUUCUUCCUUGGGUAAGCAUAAUUCUUUUAGAGAGGAAAAGUUUGUACUUCAGCAAGGGCAGUCCUCUGAGGCUUCCCAUUCUUCCCUUCACAAAAGCAGAAGAUGGGGCUUGAAUGCUUCCCUGUGUAUUGAAUUUAAAGAUAACAGCCGCUCUAUUGUUCAGAAGUAA